rnacentral:rRNA from 1 species
UACGUAGGGGGCUAGCGUUGUCCGGAAUCAUUGGGCGUAAAGAGCGCGCAGGCGGUCGUUCAAGUCGCGUGUGAAAGCCCCCGGCUCAACUGGGGAGGGUCACGCGAUACUGAUCGACUCGAAGGCAGGAGAGGGUAGUGGAAUCCCCGGUGUAGUGGUGAAAUGCGUAGAUAUCGGGAGGAACACCAGUGGCGAAGGCGACUACCUGGCCUGUUCUUGACGCUGAGGCGCGAAAGCUAGGGGAGCAAACGGG